CGGUCGUAGGGAUCCCCG
rnacentral:rRNA from 1 species